ensembl:lncRNA
CCCGGGACAUAGCACUAUAUAAAUAUUAGCCAACAUUAUAAACUGGAAUUCUAUACAGCAGUAAAAAUAAAUUUUCUAAAGUUCUAUUCAACAAGAAUGAAUCUCAAAAAUGCAAUGUUGAGGAAAUAAAUGCAAGUCACAAAUAACAUAUUCAGUGUGGUAAAACUUCUCUAAGUUCAAAAACAUGCUAAUCUAAAUAUGGAUUAUUUCUAAUAAAUAUAUGUGUCACAAAAUUGUAAAUACAAGUAAACAAAUAAUAAAUAUUCAGAAGCAUAGUGGUUCUUCGGAGUUUUCUUUGAGGGUGGGGUGGAGAAAUUUAAUAAGAAGGAGUCACCGAGGGGUUGCAAUGAUAUUAAUAGCAUUCCAGUUCUUAAGCGAAGAGAUAGAUACAUGAUUGUUUCUUGCAUCAUUUUUAUUCUUUAUGUAUUAUAUGUAAAACACUUCCAUCUUACAAAAUAAAAUACGUAGUAUUUUUUUACGGGAGUACAGUGUUUCAUAAUACAAAUUACAAAAACAUAUAUAAUAAGUGGUACAUAUUUGCCGGUUUCACCAUGUUUCCAAUAGCCAACACUAAGAGGUACAAAGAUAAGGAAAUGCAUAUCCAAUCCUUAACCUGAAAGUUCUCCCACUAGUACUUCACUGGCCAUAACUUAGGCCCAUAGGCUCAUCUAGCUGCAAGGGAGGAUGGGAAAAGUGUUCAGCUGGGCUGACAUGUGCCCAGCAAAACUCAGUUACUAUCAAAGAAUGGGGAAAUGAACAUUGGAGGAUGAUGAGCAGUCUUCCACAAGAGGCAACAACCAGCAUAUUGAAAAAUAAGACAGAUAGAAGAUAAAAUAUUUGUCAAGCUAUUUGUAAAGUUGAAGAAAAUAUUUUGUAAACCACACAGCCUGAAACAGACAGUUUUCAAGAAAGAUGUGAUUCCUGUCAGGAGAAAAUUAGCUAAUAAAAUCCUUAAAAUAAAUUUUCUACAUUAAAAAUAUUUUUCUACCUCUUUCUUAAUCUUCUCCAAGAGAGAAAAGGUUAAUAAUAAUGACUACGUAUAUAAUAAAAGGAAAAAGGUGAAAACUAUGAAUAAGUCCAUGUCUUUGGACCAAAAAUUCAUAACUACUCAGUUUUCUUGUCUUCUCAGCCUCCAAAUCUCCAAAAAUAACAACUUUUUAAAAUUUAUUUUGUACUUAAAUAAACAUAAACUUAUCAAGCAUUAAAUUUAUUCAAGUAAUAAAGCUCAUUCUGCAUGGCAACAUUCAGCUGGGAAAAAACUAGCCAUUUUGUCCUAUGACUUUCUCACUUAUUCUAAAAGUAUUUCACCAUGUUCCCAACGUCAUAUUAUUGUACAGAUGAAUCUGGUAAAUUUAUCUCAUGGUUACAGAGCCUCUACAGAAAAGCAGUUUGAUUUAAUCAAUGGCAAGACUUGUGGAAUACGUCAGACAUACAAUUAUUAGUGGGUCAUAGAAUAAGCAGGGUGGGUUUCUUCAUUCUUAGAGGCUUUUUACUAUCUGGAUUUUACCCAGUUGGAUUAAUCAGACACAGAAAAAAAGAACCACAGAAAUGCUCCACAAUGUAAAGUCAAGUUCUGCAGAAGAACCUUAAAAAAAGGAACACAGGAAAGCAACCUGCAAAGCCAUAUCCAGAUGCCCGGGUUUUUUUUUUUCAGAUGAGCAAAUUGAGGUUCAGAGAGGUGGAAUACCUUACAUGAAGUCACACAGCUCCUGGAUCCCCUUAGACUUUAUGGAAGCAAUUCCAUGUACUCACACUUACAAACCAUCAGUUGCUCUUUUUAGCUUUUUUUUUCUUUUUUGGUAAAUAUCCACAUUGCUGUGUUUAAGCUACUCCCCUGUACAUUUUUAUUACCAAUUUUCUUUGAACAAACAAAAAUGCUCUAUAUUCUUUUGGGCAGUUUACUUUAUUUGACAAUAGUUGACUCAUGGGGAAAUUUAAUUGGUCAUAGGAGAAUGUGCCAGUGAAUUAGUGAAUAUGAGGCUUAGUUAAAGAUUAAAAAAUAAAUACUCUGAUUCUGGAAUUUGCCCUAAAUUCAGGGAACUGCCUAGAAAAUUGGAAACAGGGACGCCAGAGCCUGUGCAACUGAGUAACUGCAAGGCACGUGCUCAGGUAUGGGGAGACGGCUCAUGUUUUCCGGAGAGUUCUCCCUUGCUGGUUGCUGGGACCUCCUCAAAUUCUAGACAUCAACUCAGAAAUACGGUUAGCCAACCUUGAAUUGACUGAGGAGCAGAAGCAGUGGCUGAGUAUUUGCAGGGUAUGACCUCUUAGCCCUCCUGCAAGGGAUUUCCUGGCCAAAGCAAUGCUUCCCAGUUUGCCUUUGCCUGCAAUCUCUGAUCUUUUUCCAGGCAAACCUCCAUGCUUUUCCUUGAGGGUGUUCCAGGAAAGGAAACACUUGAAUUCAUAUCAGUCAUUUGCAUUUAAUUAUAAAUGUAUUUCUGUAUGUCCUUAGAGUUGAAUUUAAUGGAGAGAUCACAGAGAGAUCAGCAGGUCUUGAGGAACCCAGCAAGAUAUCCCUAUA